GUGAAGAACGUAGUGAAAUGCGAUACGUAAUGUGAAUUGCAGAAUUCAGUGAAUCAUCGAAUCUUUGAACGCACAUUGCGCUCUCUGGUAUUCCGGAGAGCAUGCUUGUUUGAGUAUCAGUAAACACCUCAACUCCUUUAUUGUAGUUGGACUUGAGCUAUCCCAACAGGACUUUUUGUUCCUGGCGGGAGGCUUGAAAUGCAGGUGCAGCUGGACUUUCUUCUGAGCUAUAAGCAUAUUUAUUUAAUCCCUUAACACGGAUUAUUACUUUUUUGCUGCAGCUAACAUAAAGGUUGAAUUUCCAUUGAGCUGACUGAUGCAGGAAUUUGGCAAGGAAUUUUUUUAAUGACUUGUUAAACUCGAUCUCAAAUCAAGUAAGACUACCCGCUGAACUUAAGCAUAUCAAUAAGCGGAGGA
rnacentral:misc_RNA from 1 species